ensembl:lncRNA
AAGUAUAUGGUCGCAGAGUCACAAUAGUCUCGCAGAACUCCAGUCCCUCUGUCCACUGUGAGUUCAUGUCAGGCUCAAAGAUAAGCAAUAUCUCUUCCUUUGGUCUGUAUGACUGAUCUCUACAUUCCACUUGUACCGAUGUAUGUUUGGACACAUGAUCAUUCUCCUUUGUUGUUUUAACUGUAUAUUCACAUGGUUUCUCAGCAUGGAUUUGGCUGAUGAAUGCUUGAACUGUUUCUGUUGCUGCUCUAGGACAGAUGGUUCCUUGGAGUCCACUUGUGACUGGCUGUAUUAUUCCCUUGCCGUUCACCAUCUGCUCGAUCACAUUAUAUCCAAUAAUGGGAUGACAUAGCUGCCUGCCCUUCAUCGCCAACACAGAGGGCAGGCACUCCAGAAGAUUGCAAAGAUAAUCCAGCAUCUCCAAUGGCUCACAAAAUUCAACAUA